AGAUAAGAGAAAAAGUGCCUCAGGUGUUUCCCAGAUUCACUUCCCUUUCAUUGAUGCUACCAAGUUGCAGAUGCUACCAUGACAACAACCUGACUUCUCUGGGCAGAUCACCUCACCAAUAUGUCCUGGAACCCCACCUCUCCAGAGCCCUGUCCCACUAGGGAAAGAGAAACAGGUUUGGGGUGUGGAUCCACCUGUCAACACUCAAGUCCAGUGGAGAAGAAUUGCAGAAGCCAGAACUUCCACCUUCUGCAUCCUCAAAAAUAAUUUUGGUCCAUCCUCCCAGAGGAAUAAAAAAUAGGGAAGCUUCCCAUGGAGGGGAUGGGAUAUGGAACUCUGGUGGUGGGAACUGUGUGGAAUUGUACCCCUGUUAUCUUGUUAAUCAUUACGAAAUCAUUAUUGAAAAAAAAAGAAGUGUCACAGAGCUUGGUGGUUGCAAGCACAUCGUUUCACAAAGGCACUUUUAGGAGGUUCUACAAUCCUAAUUUUCUAUGCGCUUUGCUCUGGAUUUGCAGCAGAAUCAUUAUAGCAGUCAGUGGCUCUCCACCUCAUUCCCUUGCUUCUACGAUUGAUCCCCGAAGCACCAUUAAAACAAGGGCAGUCAGAGGCAGAAAAAUGGAUGGUCUGCUUUCAUUGUAAA